rnacentral:rRNA from 1 species
GAUGAACGCUGGCGGCGUGCCUAAUACAUGCCAGUCGAGCGAACAGACGAGGAGCUUGCUCCUUUGACGUUAGCGGCGGACGGGUGAGUAACACGUGGGUAACCUACCUAUAAGACUGGGAUAACUUCGGGAAACCGGAGCUAAUACCGGAUAAUAUUUCGAACCGCAUGGUUCGAUAGUGAAAGAUGGUUUUGCUAUCACUUAUAGAUGGACCUGCGCCGUAUUAGCUAGUUGGUAAGGUAACGGCUUACCAAGGCAACGAUACGUAGCCGACCUGAGAGGGUGAUCGGCCACACUGGAACUGAGACACGGUCCAGACUCCUACGGGAGGCAGCAGUAGGGAAUCUUCCGCAAUGGGCGAAAGCCUGACGGAGCAACGCCGCGUGAGUGAUGAAGGUCUUCGGAUCGUAAAACUCUGUUAUUAGGGAAGAACAAACGUGUAAGUAACUGUGCACGUCUUGACGGUACCUAAUCAGAAAGCCACGGCUAACUACGUG